GCAGAUCUGAGUUUUCUUCUUGGACACCUAAUACCCACAGCCCUCCAGAGACCAAGAGGUUGAUGUGACUCCCAAUAUCGGAGGAAGUAUACACCCCCAUGUGAGAUGGUCCUUAAUAAUAUUCCACGGCGGAGGGGGUGAUAUGACUACAUACAUGGCAGAAAGUGGAAACCCCCCAGGGAUAUUAUUCCCACGAUCCUGGAGGGAAGAAGAUGAUGUUACUUUCAAUAUGAGAGAAGGUGGAUGAAGUGGUGGACUGCCCCUCCACACCUGUGGACACAGCACCCACUGAUAUUCCUUCAUUGCAACGUGGAAGAGGAGGAUAUGACAAUGCGAUAUCGCAGGGAGUAUGAAACACCCCAUGUGAUACUGUUCUUCAAUAUUCAGCCGGAGAGAGAUAUAUUACCCAAUACAGACGGGUGUACACCGUCUGUGAAAGAGUUCGUAAUCUCCAGAGGGCGCGAGAUGAUUGUUACUCACAAUAUGGUAAAGAAGGCUGUGAGAUCGACCAAGUGAGUCCCAGA
rnacentral:lncRNA from 1 species